AUCAUUUCUCAGCCUUUUGGCUAAGAUCAAGUGUAGAUAUUUAUGUCAAGUAUAUAUAUAUAUUUUAUGUAUAUGUCAGCAUAUACAUGGUAUAUGAUUUUAAAUUAAACUUGUGAAAUCAUGAGCUCGUGC
ensembl:snRNA U2 U2 spliceosomal RNA